AAAAAACACAUAGAUUAUGAUGUCAAAAAUCAAACAACCCCAAAUUAAAUUAAGAAUAAGGUAAAAUUAAAGUGGCAUCAAGAAUGAGCUAGUGCAAUAAGCUGAUCAACAACAGUAGGAUCAGCCAAAGUACUUGUGUCCCCAAGCUCAUCUAAGCUGUUUGAAGCAAUUUUUCUCAAUAUUCUUCUCAUUAUUUUGCCACUCCUUGUCUUUGGUAGACCUGGUGCCCAGUGGAUCUUGUCUGGUGCAGCAAAACCUCCAAUCUUAUCUCUAACAACUUUGAUAAGACUUCUUCUGAGUUCCUCACUAUAUGAAACACCUUCAGCCAAAGUAACAAACACGUAUAUCCCUUGUCCUUUAACAUCAUGCUCCACGCCAACAACAGCAGCUUCAACACAUUGAGGAUGUGAUACUAAAGCUGACUCUACUUCAGCUGUGCCAAUGCGGUGUCCACUGACGUUAAUAACAUCAUCUACUCUGCCAGUGAGCCAGUAGUAACCGUCUUUGUCCCUGUUGCAACCAUCACCAGUAAAGUAA
rnacentral:misc_RNA from 1 species